GUCCUUGUAGCUAACGGAUAAAGCGUUAAACUUUUAAUCCAAAGGUCGUGGGUUCCUAUCCCACCUGGGAUG